GGUUAAUGGGUCAUCUCUUUGUUCAUCCAGGUCCCAGGUGUGUGAUGGCGGCUGCAAUCUGUCUUGUGGGUAUUAAUGCGAUCUUCACUGAUGGCGACUGUACUCCAGCUGUUGUGCAAAACUGGAGCUUGCUGGUGAGUUCCAAAGGCCAGUGUCAACCAGUAUGGUCAGGACAGGCCCCAGCAUUGCCUGAGAACCCCAGACUCUGGGGUAGGGCCUCCAGUCUGGGUGCUCAUCUCUCCUGGUGGUUCAGUGCUCUGCACUGUUUUGUCCAGCCCCAGCCUGCUUAGGAAAAGUUAUCCAGGAUAGUCACCAGCCAUUUUCAUAGUGCAUCAUGGCCUUCUUAGGUAAGGCUGAUACUGUUAACAUGUGGUUAUCCAGUAGCAACCUAGACUGAAGUGUUCCACCAGCAUCUAAGCCUUUUUCUGAAAUUCAGCAUGUUGUUGGAAAUCUAUUUUAGAUGUAGUAUGUAUGCUCCCCUACUUUAUCAGUCCAAUUACAUUAAGUAUAAUUCAGCAUUUUCUUGACUCAGGGACAUUUUUAUGAGCCUCUUCUGAAAGGGAUAAUCACUUGACUGGUAUGACUGAAUUAAGUCUGCAAGAUUCUCCAGGAAUCCCUCUAUACCACUUAGUUUUUCUAGUUAGUGAUGAUUUUGGUCAUUCGUCUUCUUGCCAGUGUCAGCUGUCACUUCUCAGUCAGUAGUCUUAAAAAAUAAUAAUAAUGUACAUUCUCAGAAGUAUCCUACCUGCCAGGUACCACAUAUUGAGACUUCUGGUGUCUUUGGAAAGCUUGGCUUAGAACAACAGGAAUGUCAGGGGCUGGGAGACAGCAAUUUAUGUCUCAGCCGAAAUAAGGUGGCAGAUUUCAUUCCUAUGAUGGAUCAGAAAGGAGGCAAGAUUCCUGUUAAGGACAGAGGACCAGGUAGUGCUGCCCACAGAGGUCAUUACCACAUUUUGAGGACCUAAAAUGUGACUUCACACUCAGAGAACAGCCCCUCUUAGUGCUUGACCAGAAGUGCAGACUUCUGGUGUGCACAGCCCACCUUCCACCUGCCUGCACUUGGGCAGCUUUCUGGACAGGAAGUGAGCUACCUGCACUUCAAGUAUCUUUCCUACUGAAGUGUAUCUUCACUGACUUCAACUUACCAACAGGCAACAUUUUUCCACAACUCAUUGGGCAGCUGGUAUUUGUCCUGCUAAUCUGUGGUCUUCUGCUUUGUUAGAUUUUCCUUUUGUUGUGGUUCUUAGUAGUAAUGCCCACGUAAUUCUUGUUGGUAUUAUCACUCAAACUUUUUUAAAAGCCUUAGUUUUGUUUUAUUUCCCCUCCCCCUUCUCUAGAUAAAUUUAAAGACCAAUUAAAAGCCACCCAUGUAAUUUUUUGGAAGCAAGUUACAUGUGAUUUUUUUUUUAAGGCAGUAAAGCAACUAAAACAUCAGUCAUUAAAAGGCAUAUACCCAUGAGCCCAGGCAAGGCAGCAGCAGCAUUUGAUGAAUUCACGGCAAUGCAAGGAUCUAGUAAUGCAAGCUGAGAGGUGGGGUGGGCGACGCAGAAAAAUUUGGAAACGGGGACUAUGACUUGGUGGGAAGAUGCCCCAGAAGUGCUGGCAAAGAUGAGGAGCUGCCAGCUGUUGUGGAAGCAGGUGGGGAGGAGGGGGUGUUCAGCACUGAUGGUGUUAGCUCAGCGUGUGGUUCACCAGUUUCUGGAGCCAUCCUCAGGUUACAGAAGGGAAUUUGGAAGAAGCUAUUUCUCUUUCCAAAUUUGAAGUCAGACUACAUUGCUUAUGUGAUCGACCUUUGUAGGGUAGAAAGGACCUGGCUGAGAAGUUAGGAUCUCCAUCUGGAGCUGGGCUUUCUCCAGCCAAUGGAGUUGGAACCAUGCACAGAUGUAGCGAGCCAGCCUGCACAUACUUGUUAUUGUGGGCUGAGAAGUGUGAUAUGAGACUGGUGGAACAGUUUCUAAUUACAGAAGACUGUUCCUCUAGAGAUUCCAUAGAUCAUGAACUUUGCAUUUAAAUUUUUUAAAUGCUAAUUUGUUUUAUAUUGUGAAUUAGUAUCAGUGCUUGAUUUUAAGAAGUCAAGCUGACAGACACAAAAAACAUUCUUAGGACUGGGGUUGUGGCUCAGUGGCAGAGCGCUUGCCUCACACAUGUGAAGCACUGGAUUUGAUCCUCAGCACCACAUAAAAAAUAAACAAACAAAAUAAAGAUAUUGUGCCCAGGUAUAACUAAAAAAAAAAUUUAAAAAACAUUCUUAUUAUUAACAUUUGUAUAUGAUGUCCCAUGUUUAUUUGGAGUUGGGUGGAGGGAAAUAUUCCUUAUCUGACUUUUGGUAAAAAUGAUUAUUAGAGGGUUAAACUCUUGGGAAAGAAAUCACAAGUGGUUAGGUCAAACAGUACAUGUACAAGGGAGGCAUGGAAGGAGAGUUAAAUCUUAGCACUGGAAGAAAAAGCUCACAGUACACCUGGACAAACAGGUUUUGACUUAGUUACAGUAAGUGUCCCCUGCUCUGUCAGUCAGCAAGCAUCCUGACCCCACACCCAUAUCUUUUAAGGCACCAUUCUCCAUUGUCUUCAAAUUCUGUGUACCUCAGACAAGAUUUUAUACACAUCUCUAGGUCCUAUGCUUGCAUGUCACAGUUAAUCUCUUCCCAGGAAAGGUGCUGUGAAAAGACACCCCCCUCAGCCUGACCCUCUCCCUGGCUCACAGUCCCUUUGUGGUGCUUCAUGUUCCCGGAUGUCUUUAGAUUCUGUUUAAAAUGUCCUUGUUAAUACAUUCCAAGGUCUGAACUCCGUUCCUAGCUAAACCUCUUCCUUGUUUACAGGGACUGAAAUAGCCACACUUUGACCUUCUGUUCAGUCUGGGAACAUUGAUGGCAAUGUGGAUACAUUCUUUUCCCAUGUGAGAAUUAUAUCUGUAUGGCACAGUUCUGGAAGGCUCAGAAAAUUUUAGUUUUGUUCCUUUCUUCUCUCCUUCCUUCCAUGGUCUCCCUCCCCCCACUUCAGAAGAUCAGCUUCUGUAAUCAGCCUGUAUUAACCAGAACUUUACCUAUCUUCCUGUUCAGGCAGAUGUAUACAGAAUUGUAGUCAGGACCGGUUGCUUUAUUGCCCAAAAAAAUUGGAAAUGCCUUCUCCUCCCUGCAGCAGUAUCAGCUUUCUAUAGAAGGCACUGUUCAUUGAGGUGCUCAGGGUGCCACAGGGGUGGUGUGCACAACUGAGAUGGGCCCCCUGGGUACAAUCUCCUGGCGUUGUCAAGACUCUGACCCAAGUCUAGUGCCAUAUCCCAUCGUGGCCUAUCGCUCCUAUUUCAUCUGCUCUGGAUUCCCAGUGUUCAAAUUACAGGGUUGUGUUUUUGGUAUAUGUAAAUGACUAUAUGUGGAGUUGAGGAAGGAGUAGAUAAUUUUUGGAAGGAUUAUCCAAGAUAAUCCCCGUGAAAGCCACAUGGCCUGGACAGCGAGAAUUCCUGAAGGAGGAAGCCCUGGAGGCUGAAGGGAUCAGGAAAGGUGAGUUGUAAAAGAUAGGAGAGUGUAUAACAUGGGCGGACAGGGAGCAGGACAGAAAAGAGAAAGUACAUAGCCUGGGACAGAGCUUUUGAGGGCCUUGAAGGAUGUAUUAGGGAUAUGAGACUUGGGGAGUCACUGAGGACACUUGAGCAGGGCUUGGAAAAGGGGGGUUAAGGAAUCAUCAUUACUUUGCUGCCUACCCAUUGCAAAGCGGUUGGAGAUGCACAGUAACAGUCCAUAUACUAAGAGGUACACCCAAAGUAGUGAUGGCGAUAUUGGAAAGGAGCAGAUGAUCAUGUAGACUUAGUGUGAGAGACUGCACAGGGCCCAGGGAUGGAUGCAGGGACAGAAACUGUCAGGGCAGAAGAUGGUCUUGGCUGAAAUACCUGGGAAAAGCUGACAAGAAUAGGGAAGGAAUUGCCUACGAACCACAAGCUCGCCAGCAGCAAAAGUAGACAGCAAGGCACUGAAAGAGACACCAGAGACUCCACCCAUCCUAAAUCAACAGGCCAACUUGGGAAAGGAAACUCAUAUGGUCCACUUCCUUUGCCUGCCCAUUCCAUUUCUUCCUUUUGUAGUCCCUGAAAGCAACAUGACAGCUUUGGUUACAGGCCAUGUCACCACAGCUAGGCCAGCUGCUUUUCCACUCCAAGCCCAGAGAGGCAGCAGUAGCCCCUUCCUUCUCAGAGCACAGGGGCUGCUAGAUAAUUGUCUCAUGUGAAUUAUCCCAAAGUAAGAACCACUGUAGAGUGUUCUUCAGAAAAGGUUUCUAGGAAUCCACACAUAAACCUUCCUUUGGCUGCUUGCAUGUAUGUGGUCAAGUUUAGAAUGAGAUGGAACUUGCAGAAGAAGAAAAUUGCCCUUGUCUAUUUCUUUAGUAAGCUAGUUUCACUCCACUAUGACAUACACUCCUUGGGAGUAGAAUGAGAGGAGUUGGUACCACGUCACACUGUAAUCAGUGCACUUGAGGGGAGUUCAAGGGCAGCAAACCAGGCUUAGUAAGUGUGGAUUCACAAGGGAACUUUAGUUGCUAUAGCCCCCUAAACAAUGGCCCCACCAUAAGCCCCCUGCAACUCCAAGUCCCAACCCUGGGCUGCUUCAUACAACAUAUUCUCAGAUUGUGGGGUUUUGUGCCCCCAUCUGCUUCCAGGUAGAAAUCAGGGUGUAGCAGACAAAAGACACAGUUACCAGGAGGGGUCCUAUUAUUGGCCCUGCUGAGUGUCACAGGUGUAUGGCAUGCACCAAAGACAGGAUGUACACACCCUGCCCGGGGUAAUUUCUUCAUUAUAGAGCAUAUGAUAAGUGGUAGUUGACUCCUCAUUUCUGUGCUGGGUACCAUGGGGAGGCAAAGGAAUCAGAAAGUGAGAUUUUCCUGAAGCAGUUUACUUCCUUGUUCACUCCUAGUAGAACCUUUUUGUGGCUCAGAGAAAUCUGAGGCUGUAAAGGUGGAAAUGGGCCAGGAUCACUUGAGCACAUUACAGCUCUCUAGUUUUGGCCUGCUAGGAUUAAUUCACUUUUUACAACAACCUGAAUAGGUAGAUAGGUAGUAAGUAGCAUAGUAACGCAGUCAAGGUUCAGGAUAUUCAGAUUCCCAUUCUAGAAAACCUUGUCCUGCUUUCUCCCUAGGGAUUUCCCAUGAUCCAUGGAUGCAUGGUAUUAUAUUGGGCCUUAAGACUUGCAAGCCAUUAUUUCUACCCAUUUGUAUGUCAUCUAAAAACUAGGAUAUGGAAAGGUAUUUUGUGUGUCAAAGUUCAGGUCCAGAUGCAGCACUAUACAGUGGUGGUUUAUGGAGAAGUGUUAAAAAAUUAUUCAGUUCUCCAUGUUUGAGUGUUCACCUAAAUAUUCUGAGUUCAGGAUUUACUAAGUAAUUUCUACCUUGGAACAAUUAAGUGGUUGUUAUCAAUAAUGAUGUUUUCUUCAUAGCCUUUUCUCUCACAUAAGCAUUUCCCUGUACAAACGUCUAGUAUAUACUUAUUUGCUUUUGCGAAUACCUUUUCUACAAAUAUAAGUGAGUAUGACAUGUUGGCAAGAAACAAAGGCAUUAGGAGUUGGAGAAGGAAAGGAAAAAUAGAGGGUUUGGAGUUUGGGGGUUUUUUUGGUUGGCAGGGGGCGGGUAUUGAGAGGGUAUUGAGGAUCACCCAUAGGGCCUCAUAACUAAUGCUAGGCAAGCACUCUACCUCCCAUCUACAACCCUAGCCCUUUUUAUUUUGAGAUAGGGUCUCAUUAAGUUGCCCAGGCUGACCUCAAACUUGUGAGCUUCCUGCCUUAGCCUUCCAAGUAGUUCAGACUGUAAGUGUGACAUCACACCUUAGCAAUUGUACAAGCAAAUUGGGUAAACCAAAACAUAAUAGAUCGGAGAUGCAUAUAUGACCAGAGUGCUUAUCUGGCACACACAAGGCCCUGGAAUCAAUCCUCACAACACAAAGAGAAAACGUCCAGGACCAGCCCCAGAUAGGUAGGAGUCAAGGACUUCAAUGAUUAUUUGAAGGCCCUUGUUUUUGCCACAAGGCAAAGAGAAAGGUAGUUCUUUGCAACUUUAGGAAAGGGGACCUUUAAAAGUUUUUAUUAUGUAAGUAACGAUAAGUGGAAAUUAAAUGUUAGCCCUAUAUCUCACUGUGCUGUGACCAUUGAUCCUCUUGUGUAUGGUCUUUAUUGGGAGAGAUUGUUUACCUACAUACACACACACUCAUAAGGAAUCACUCUUGAAUUUCUCCAUGGGUUUCUCAGUCAUGGCAUUAGGAAAAAAGUACUGUACAUGGUUUUGAGGUCUACUCUGCCAACAUGUUUUCUUUCUGUUUCAGGCUUGAAAAAAACCUUGCCCAGUUUUGAUCCCUUCAAGACUUUGCCACAGCCUCUAUCACACAUCUGUUUUACUCGAAGAAAAAAAAUAUAUAAUAAAAAAUGUUUUACUCUUUUACACUGUAUAAUUCUAAGAAAUAGUGUUAUUUGUGAAUGCAUGGUGUGACAUAAUUUCUGUACAGUUUGGAGAUAUUUUCAAAUGAAACAUAAAAGAAGUCAACAAUAAAACCAAGAAAGUGAGUAUUUUUAUACCAAACAUUUUAAUUCUGACAGGAUGGAUUCUUACACUGGGUUGGAUCACAAAUUUUAUGCUAGACUUAUCGAAUGCUUGUAAUUAAAAAUAUCUAUUUUUUUCUUUAAAAUAAGCUGCAUGUUUGAGGCAUGUUUCGAAAUAGUUACCAACAUUUCCAGAAUUGUAUUGUUAAAUGUAUAGACACUGUCUGCCUGGCUGAAGUCCAGGGUUCAUUAGUAAUGUAGUGUUAGAACUGUUCUCUUCAGCCCUGGUCUGUGAUCCCAGUUCCCAUAUGAUAUCCCUACAAGACAAUCAAAGCUUCCAGGAGCUACUUUAAUGGCAUAUUCACAACUGGGCAAAGAAAACUUGGGGAGAAAUUCUUUAGACUAGAGUGUGCCCUUUGAAAGAUCUGGCAGCUCCAUCUGUGACUGUAUGAACUGUGUGUUUCAAGUUUCAUGUUUAUCUUUUAUGAGAGCUUGCUCCCCUGUGUGACUAACUUGCUGUAUUACUCACCUUCCAUAGCUAUGCCACUGCUCCUGUGGGACUGUAGUAGCCCUCACUGUGAAGGAGCACCUUGGCUUCGGGGCUGGCUUUGCCCAACUACAAUGGGCAAGCCCACAUCUGCCAAGUGAUUUUACCCAACUUUGGCUGAACUAAGCUAGUGUUCAAACAGACCGCCUGUCACAUGUUCUGGAAUCCCAGGUUGCUUGUCGUGAGGUUCCCAACUACUCUGGCACAGGGGGAACCACGGUAACCAAUGGCCAAGAGGAGGACGGUUGGGCUUCUUUCAAAAUGGUCAAAGCUAAACAGUCUUUGUGUUUUAAGGUGACACAUUCCAGAAUCUGUGACAGCUCAGCCUCUCCCCCUUCCCCUUGUAUAAAAGCCAUGUGUAAAACUAUAUUGACCUAAGAGUUUCUAACUGCUAAUAUAGCUAGAAAUGAUCACAAUCUUUCCUACUGAUCUGCUCACUCACUGUGUUGAAAAAUUCAAUAUUUUAAUGAUUAUAUGCUUGAUUUGGGGGUUUUGUUUGUUGUAUCAUUUUUCAUUAGAAAUAAAAAUAACAUUUUUAAUGGUUAUCACAACAAAGCAAAGCUAGGAGUGAGGGGCUCUUUCUUACCAACAAGAAGAAGAAAGAGGGCAGGCAGUAGCCUAGAGGCUCCUGAUAGAUCUGCUUGGGUGUUUAGGGAGGGUCUAUGCCCUCAGCACCACUUAACUCUUGGUGAGACUCCUGUAUUUGAUUUUAAGGAAAACAAAGC
rnacentral:lncRNA from 1 species